AAUGCUGGUUGGUCUAGGUAUAUUUGAUGAUAACCAAUUCAAAUCUGAUUCUGAAGAAUCACUAGUUGCAAUCUCAAGCUCAUCAAAUUCAUCAUUGAUAUUGUUGAUAUCAUAACCAUGCAAUGAAGGUUCAUUAUUGCAC